rnacentral:rRNA from 1 species
CCUUCCGUAGGGGUGAACCUGCGGAAGGAUCAUUACCUAGAGUUGCGGGCUUUGCCUGCCAUCUCUUACCCAUGUCUUUUGAGUACCUUCGUUUCCUCGGCGGGUUCGCCCGCCGAUUGGACAAAACUUAAACCCUUUGUAAUUGAAAUCAGCGUCUGAAAAAAACAUAAUAGUUACAACUUUCAACAACGGAUCUCUUGGUUCUGGCAUCGAUGAAGAACGCAGCGAAAUGCGAUAAGUAGUGUGAAUUGCAGAAUUCAGUGAAUCAUCGAAUCUUUGAACGCACAUUGCGCCCCUUGGUAUUCCAUGGGGCAUGCCUGUUCGAGCGUCAUUUGUACCUUCAAGCUUUGCUUGGUGUUGGGUGUUUGUCUCGCCUCUGCGCGCAGACUCGCCUCAAAACGAUUGGCAGCCGGCGUAUUGAUUUCGGAGCGCAGUACAUCUCGCGCUUUGCACUCACAACGACGACGUCCAAAAAGUACAUUUUUUACACUCUUGACCUCGGAUCAGGUAGGGAUACCCGCUGAACUUAAGCAUAUCAAUAAGCGGAGGAAA